rnacentral:rRNA from 1 species
UACGAAGGGGGGCUAGCGUUGCUCGGAAUCACUGGGCGUAAAGGGUGCGUAGGCGGGUCUUUUAAGUCAGGGGUGAAAUCCUGGAGCUCAACUCCAGAACUGCCCUUGAUACUGAGGAUCUUGAGUUCGGGAGAGGUGAGUGGAACUGCGAGUGUAGAGGUGAAAUUCGUAGAUAUUCGCAAGAACACCAGUGGCGAAGGCGGCUCACUGGCCCGAUACUGACGCUGAGGCACGAAAGCGUGGGGAGCAAACAGG